CCAUGAGACUAAUGACCUCAUCCAGACUCACUUUAUCUCUUUUUUUCCCCCUAAAUAAACAUAUCUGAGUGCUUGCUGUUCUAAUUGUUUGCAAAUUCAUUUGCAUGAUUUCCUUCAAUAUUUCAUAGAACUUACAAGAUUAAUUACUUGAUCUCUGUAAUAAUAACCAUCCUGUCUCCUCCUUUUCUGUAUUGAGGCUAAUUUGAAGGGAGGAAUUUAAUUCAAUAGAGUCUCAUUGUUUACUCGAAUUACACAUGCAUAAUGACAUCUCAGUAGGAAAGGAUGCUGAAUGCCACCUUUGAGACUCAGUCCGUACCUUGGGGCAAAAAUAUGAUGUCUAACCAGGUAGCCAUUAAGACUUCCCAUAUUUGGAUGGUCAAACCGGUAAUUUCUAGGGCUAUUCUCAAUUCUAAAAUGCUAAAAAGCGGUUUCAGAGAAGGGUGGGCAAAAACUUCCAGAAGCAGAGGUUCCCACUGUGAUCAGUGCAGUGGGUUGUGGAGGUUUUGUAAUUUCCAAAACUCAUUGAUACCUUACACUUGAUGCAGUUAUGUCAUAUAGUCAGUUUCUUUUCCUUUUCUAUGGUCAUUCCUCGAUGUUCCCCUAAUAUCCUCUCCACAAAGGGUUGACAUAAAACAUUAAGAAAUUAGCACUGGCAUCUAUGUAGAUUACGUUGUGGAUGCCAUUUUCAUUUCUUUCUUUCUUCCCCUGUCUCUCAGCUCAGCAGUUCUGUGGGACUGACCACAGCAGUCUUAAAUGAGAUUUUAAAAAAUUUAACAAUUACCUAGUUUUCAUUUAUAUGGAUGUUUAAUUCAGAGGUUACUCCACCCAUGGUCUCUUUGGAAGAGGCAGUGCUUUUUUUAUUCACGGUUAGUUGGAUCACACAAUGGUGCUUACAUCUAACCGUGUUCCAGAAAGAGUUUAAAUUGGCUCACAAAGACGCAAAAUUAAAACCAUGCCAUGUUCAUGUUGUACUACACUAGGCAAUAUCUAGGGCCGUCAGAAUAGCAGCUAGUGUGAAGAAUCUUUUGUCCAUUAUUGGACACUCAUUGCAGUUGAAGGCUGUAAUCAACAAGCAGUUUGUUCAGUGUCUGCUGUGGACUCAGCAUUGUAUUGGAGGUUGUGCAAGAUCAGAAAACAUAACCUAAUAAUGGUUAUAGAAAACAGGACCCAGGAAAAUUUCCUAGGAAAACAGUAGCCGGGAACAUUUCCCUUAUCCAGAAAGUUUAUCUAGAAAACAGGAGACAGAAAUUAAAUCUUUGAUCCACCCAAAUAGUGAGGUAGUACCUCUAGCCCUAAUUGAGGACCUGUUUACUAAUAUUUUGCAUACGUAUCUAACAAACAUGACUUCUCUGAUUUCCAACCUCAUAGAAUUUAGGGAGCAGUGAAUUGGAAUGUGAUAGAUUUCUACACUGAUGGCUGAAAUCUUCUGCAAGUAAGAGAAAAUUAUUUAUCGAAAACCUAAUAAAUAAAAGGCAAAAGGCUCUGGAGUGUAAGGACAGUAAGUACAGGGACACCUAGCAAUAAGGCACACAGUGCAAUAAUGCAUGGCAAGAUAUAAUACAUCUUUGUAUGUAUUACAUGUACUAAGGUCAUGCAUGACGAAGAUGUUUAAUAAGACAGAUAUACGAGAUAUGCUAUAAAUGUGUUUCUUGCCAAAAUGUUUACACUUUUUUUUUUUUAAAGCUUGUGCCCAAGGAAGAACACCCUAAAUUAUCAGGAAAACUCAGCUACUCUAUUGGGUAUAUUGUCAGGAUAGCUGAGAUUUUAGCAUUGCUGAUGAGGCUGGACUAAUAGUAAACAGCAGGUGACAGGACGUCAUCAAAUACUGGAUUGUCUGCCAUCUUUUUUGAUAGAUUCCAAGGGACAGUAACUGAUGCAAAGCUCUAACUGUGAAAGAAUGGUUAAAGAAUUUUUUUCUAGGCCUUGGACUAGAGUUUGAAUAGACAGUGGAGUUUCACCCAAAUUAAAUAUAGACGCAAUUUUUUAAAAGAUUUGUAUUCCUACUUUCUCUCUGGAAAGUGGUCAAGGAGAUGGACUCCUUGGGGUUAGAGAUGCUUAAAGGAGCAGGUAGUGGUGGCAAGGAAAAAUCUUGCAUCUUCACCCUCUUUCUCAGUGCCUCCUUGCAUCUCUCCUUCCUUCCUCCAAACAUCUUGCGUCAAGGUAUUCUGUUCCCCCAGUGUGAGAGGAAAGCAGAGCAAGGCAAUAGAAAUCACAUCUUAGAUUCAAAUUCAAGAGUCUUCCUAGCUGGAGUCUUACUAGCUUGAGCAAGAUGUUGAACCUGAGUUCUGGAGCUGUGACCCCUGUCUGCACAAAAAUCACAACGAGUCAGCAGGACAACACAGGUGAUGAGUAUUUUCCAAACUACAAAAUUCUAUGAGAAGUUUUUUAAAUGUGAGUUUUCCAUUGAGCAAUAGGGUUUUUCAGGACACCUAUUUCCUCUUCACAAAUCUAGGACCUCAGAGACCUGAUGAUGGGAGCAAACUGCUCCUUGGACUUUAAAUAACUCAGCAGCAAAGGUUUAAAUCUCAGCAUGAAGAACGAGUAGUUGAAAAAACCUUCUUUCCAGCAUUUUCUCUAAGAAAGUAUCUAAAAAUGGAUAAUAUUGGGCGGAUCAAGUGAAAUGUGCUAGGAAUCAUAAAAAUGCAGGUGGCAAGACAGAGAGGGAAUGUAAUGACUGUGAGUCGGUCUGUCUGGAGGUUCGUGGCGAGUGUGAUAAUGAUCAAUGACUGCCCAUUCGAGCCAUUAUAGCCCGUUAAGUUCAAGGCCACAGGCUGGAAAUUCUUAGCAAACUAGGGGGCCAGUGGUGUGGCCACUUAUGUGAGACAAGCCAUUCUCAUCUAAACCAGCCUCCAGUCCAUUUCCCGGGAGCAAGGCCCGCUGUGUCUCACUCAGCACUGUACUCUGCUUGGAUUUUGCUCCUAAUGAGAAAAAGCUCAUUGUUCUAAUUGGUUUGUGAGUGAAUCCCACGCCAUGUCCCCUGGGGAAAUCCACAAAUGCCCUGGGCUCAUCUUGUCCUUUCUCAUCAUCAUCCAGCCUCAUCCCUUUGAACCCCUCCUCACCACUGGGAGCCAGAACCCUCUAUUUAAAAUGCAAAUCUAACCACUACUCCUCUUCUUUUAUUCUCUAAACCCCUAGAUAAAUCCUAAAUUUCUUAAUAUGGACAAUAAAGCCUUCUGUGAUCUGGUCCUCUAGUCAGUGACACAGCCUUUCCUUCUGCCAGUCUCCACGAGAAAUUUACGCUCUAAUCAUGCCAUAAUACUUAACACUCAUGCACUCUUUGAGCCUUACCAGGCUCUUCUUUUAUACCCCGAUGCCCUUUGCAUCGUCUGCACUGUUCUUUAUCAGAACACUCUUCUACAUUCUCCUUCCCUGGCUGUUCUUCCUCAGCCUUCAAGGUUCAACUCAGACAUCUUUUCCAACAGCUUCCUUAUAACGCCAAGAAUGGGGACAAGGAGGGGGUACUUGCAUCAAACUUUGUGCAUGCCUUUCUCCUUAUGGGGAUACACUGGAAUGAUCUGUUUCUGUCCCCUUUUCCCAUCUGAAUAUGAGGUUUUUUAAAAAAAACAAAGACUGUAGUUUGUUUAUCACUAAGCCGCAAACAUUUGGUGAGAGACCUGGCCAUCUACACAGUGUGUGUCAAAGUGAAUCAUUAGUUGUAUCUCUAGAACAUUUCUACAAUGACAUUCAUCUGUUGGCCUGUGAAUGGUGAUCUACCUUGAUUACUGGACAAACAGGAGCAUUGAAGUGCCAAGCAAAUAUGGAUAAGCUGGCUAUUGUCAACAUUUUACACGCAAUGAAUAUCCCUUUGUUUCAAAAGUCAUUUCAACACCUCUUCUGUUCCUUGCAUUGUAGUAGAUAUUAUGCACCUGCCCCAAAGGGCUUGUUUCCUAGGGGCACAAAGCUAAAGAUAAGCGCUGCAAGAAAAGUCACAGCCUUGAGAUUUCAGUGAAGAGACAGACUCUAGGCUCCUGAAGGGUAGGGAACACACAAAAUCACCUGAAAAACAGCUAAGAUUUUAAAGAGUAGAGAUUGGGAAGAUAAUAAAAGGUGGAGGAGGAGAGAUGAUGUAUUUUUUCCAGAAGAAACAUUGACAGCAGAGAUGGAAAAGCCCUGAGUAUAUUUGGGAAGCAAGACUACACCUGACAGUUGGCAAUUUGAACCUAAUCUGACUCAUUUUCCACCACUUACCCCAUCUCCAUGCUCCAGCCACCCCAACUUCUUUCUCUAGCCCAGUGGUUCACAAACUUAAGUGAGCAUCAGUAUUGUUAGGUGAGCGUAUAAAACACAGAUUGCUGGAGCCCCUUCCAGCUACUGACUUUCUGAUUCAAUAGGUCAGAUGGUGACGAUGCUGAUGCUGUGGUCUUGAGGCAUGUUUGAAAACCACUGCUACACUUUCUCGUUGACAUCACCGUGGCACAGACCUGCUCCCCACUCACUCCCAGCCCUGACACUGUAGGAGAUGGACCUCAGAACCCACCUGGAGCCUUGGGUUCUUUGGACUCUGAACAGCUGCCCCUUGAAACCACACCAAUGGCCUAUUGGCAAAGCAAGCACCACCGUUUAAGCUGUAGAGCAGGCAGUGUUUUCCCGUCAUUCCGGCAAAUGAAAGACUAAUUUGAACCAUCUGGUUCUGUAACACCCUCCUACACCACUGCUUAGAAGCAGCCUAACAUAUUUUCUUUUAGGUUUUGUCAAUAAAAUAUUGCUCCCUGAGGCUGUCGGCUUGUCAUGUUUGCAGCCCAUAAGCACAGUUGGAGCAGUUAGUGGUGGCACCGGCCAGAAGAGGACCAUAGGGCAGCCCCUCAGCCUUUCACCGCUGGUGCUCUGUGCAUCCUUCUUCUCAAGGCAGAUUCUCUACACCGAUGCAUUCACGUAUUUUUUUUUUUUUUCAAAGUGGAACCAAAAUGUGUCCAGACCUUUCUUAGCCACUCUGCCCUUUCUGUCCUGUUAAUUUUGCUUUGCCUUGUGACAGUGAAGAAUCAGCGUUUAGCAUUUCCAACAGCCAGGUAGAGUGUGUACACAUUUAUUAAGAUUAAUUAAAAAGUAACAAAUUGUAAAGUAAUAACAUUAACAACCAGUAGAAAAAGUGCAGACAUUUUGACAGUCUUUUUGAAUUUCAUUAAAAGAUGGUAGUGACAAAAACCCCAGAGACUAUUUCUACUUUACUAAAGAAAUAGGUCACAGAUUCAAUUACAGUCACUGAAGCAUGGACUCAAUCUAUCAUGGCAAAUUAAGUACAUUUUAGCAACCUACUUUCCUUUAAAAAUUUUAUAGACACUUUCAGUGGAAGAAGAAAG
rnacentral:lncRNA from 1 species